UACGUAGGUGGCAAGCGUUGUCCGGAUUUAUUGGGUUUAAAGGGUGCGUAGGCGGUUAUAUAAGUCAGUGCUGAAAAUAUCCCCAGCUUAACUGGGAGGGUGGCAUUGAUACUGUAUGACUUGAGUAGAGUUGAGGUUGGCGGAAUUGACGGUGUAGCGGUGAAAUGCUUAGAUAUCGUCAAGAACACCGAUAGUGAAGACAGCUAACUAAGCUCU
rnacentral:rRNA from 1 species